AUGCCUAAUGGUUUGUCUGACUUUUUUCAGCAGGGUACAUAUCUGGGCCACAUACAACUAACCACAAAUAGCCCACAUUUGGCAUGCCAUUACAUAAACGGUGCCAUCAUUGCCAGACCUGGCCCACAUCUGGCUAACAUUCUAUUUACCAGGUCAGAAAUAGGCCAAAAGUGCCGGCUUGAUGCCAGAUCUGGCCCAGACCUGUCUGUUACAGAUCUGGGCCACAUACACCUAACCACAAUUGGCCCACAUUUGGCAUGCCAUUACAUAAACAUUGCCAUCAUUGCCAGACCUGGCCCACAUCUGGCUAACAUACUAUUUACCAGGUCAGAAAUAGACCAAAAGUGCCGGCUUGAUGCCAGAUCUGGCCCAGACCUGUCUGUUACAAAUCUGGGCCACAUACACCUGACCACAAUUGGCCCACAUUUGGCAUGCCAUUUCAUAAACAGUGCCAUCACUGCCAAACCUGGCCCAGACCUGUCUGUUACAGACCUGGGCUACAUACACCUAACCACAAUUGGCCCACAUUUGGCAUGCCAUUACAUAAACGGUGCCAUCAUUGCCAGACCUGGCCCACAUCUGGCUAACAUACUAUUUACCAGGUCAGAAAUAAGCCAAAAGUGCCAGCUUGAUGCCAGAUCUGGCCCAGACCUGUCUGUUACAGAUCUGGGCCACAUACACCUAACCACGAUUGGCCCACAUUUGGCAUGCCAUAUCAUAAACGGUGCCAUCACUGCCAGACCUGGCCCAAAUCUGGCUAACAUACUAUUUGCCAUGCCAGAUGUAGGCCAGAGGUGCCGGCUUGAUGCCGGAUCUGGCCCGGACCCGCUUGCUAUGUGGGCAGUUAGUGAAGAAAACUGUAUGAUUGCUGGAUUUAUUGAAACUCCAUUUUCAAGAUUAACUUUCCAGGAUAAACUUGAAAUUGUCCAGAAACUUCGACCAUCAUCCGCCUUGCCAGGAUUGAUGCAAUCUAGCAAGAGCUACCGGAGACAUUUUCAAGCUAGCAGCUACAGCCCGUGGCUAAUGGGCAGCCUGUGCACCAACAAGCUGUACUGUUGGGAUUGCCUGCUUUUUAAUCCCAAUAAAGGGCCCUGGUGUAGCGCAGGAUUCAAUAAUUUGAGUUGCUUAACCAAAGCAGCUCAAAAACAUCAAUCCACUCCAGGACACCUGCGUGCUGCUGUCUCUCUGAAAACGUUUGGAGACACGCAGAUUGACCUGCAGUUGAGUAAGCAACAGCGGAGAGAGACCAUUGUGCACAACGAGAAGGUGAGACAAAACAGGGAGAUCCUGAAACGGCUCAUCCACACUGUGGUAUUUUUGGGAAAGCAAGAACUAUCUUUUAGAGGACAUGAUGAGAGCAGAGAAUCAGCGAACAAGGGGAAUUAUUUGAAGUUGUUGGACUACUUGGCUGAAUAA
rnacentral:lncRNA from 1 species